UGGGGAGUACGGCCGCAAGGUUAAAACUCAAAGGAAUUGACGGGGACCCGCACAAGCGGUGGAUGAUGUGGUUUAAUUCGAUGCAACGCGAAAAACCUUACCCACCUUUGACAUGUACGGAACUCGCCAGAGAUGGCUUGGUGCUCGAAAGAGAGCCGUAACACAGGUGCUGCAUGGCUGUCGUCAGCUCGUGUCGUGAGAUGUUGGGUUAAGUCCCGCAACGAGCGCAACCCUUGUCAUUAGUUGCUACAUUCAGUUGGGCACUCUAAUGAGACUGCCGGUGACAAGCCGGAGGAAGGUGGGGAUGACGUCAAGUCCUCAUGGCCCUUAUAGGUGGGGCUACACACGUCAUACAAUGGCUGGUACAAAGGGUUGCCAACCCGCGAGGGGGAGCUAAUCCCACAAAGCCAGUCGUAGUCCGGAUCGUAGUCUGCAACUCGACUACGUGAAGUCGGAAUCGCUAGUAAUCGUGGAUCAGAAUGUCACGGUGAAUACGUUCCCGGGUCUUGUACACACCGCCCGUCACACCAUGGGAGCGGGUUCUGCCAGAAGUAGUUAGCUUAACCGCAAGGAGGGCGAUUACCACGGCAGGGUUCGUGACUGGGGUGAAGUCGUAACAAGGUAACCGUA
rnacentral:rRNA from 1 species